GCCCUGAUCCUCUCACACUCUGAAAGCAUCUUGCUCGAAGUCCCUUUCCCCUGAGACCUUCCAUGUGCAGGAGGGGCACACACCAGAAGUGUGGUUUGGGGCUCACACAAGGUGAGCGACACAAAGGAAGUGACGGCUGUUUUAUCAUAGAAACAACUUAACAGGAUGUGGUUUCAUCUCCAUCCAGGUGACCACAUCCCCGGCGCAGAAAACAAAGUGUUUGUUCAACAGUUUUCUCUGCUUUCGUCUUUGAGGUACGAAGGCAUUUACGAUUGAGUAAUAUGAAUUGCUCCCACUCCAGCUUUUCUGAAACGUUCGAAUGGACCCUAAUUUACAGACAACAGCAAGAUAAAAGUCAUGGUCUAAUGAUACGGCUGUGCCCUUUAUCCAGCUGGAUGGGCCGAGAAGCCAACAAGCCCCUGAGGAAACCACAGGUCGGCUGAGCUGAUGCGCGCUUAGGGGUGACUGGUAGGCAGAAUCAGGAAAUGAACCGCAUCCAGACGCAGCUAAAAAUACUUCAGCGCUUUCCACCGGCCCCACAGACAGAAAUGCCAUCUGUGGAUUCUAAGCUCGCAGGCUUCUGGAACCUUGGAACACUGGGGAGACUUAAUUAUAACAGAAUUUUUCCAUAUACCAGACUAAUGCAGGAAUAGAGUAUGGGUAAAUGAGAACACCAAAGCUCCUGGAGGUUGCUUUGGUCCUGGCAUUUUAUUGCAGUCACCGAAAAGUAACUGAUAAUCAGUAGCCCAGAGAUUGAGAAGGGAGACUUGUAGGUGAAGACGAGGAAUCGUGAGAGAUAAAGGAAUGGGUGUGGGUUGAAAACCCAGGGCCCCAAAACUCCACGUGAAGUGACACCCACAUAUCCAUAUGUCAUCUUGUAUCUAUGCAAGUGUUAAGUCAGAGAAGAAACAAGGAGACAGCGGCUACCCCUGAAAGAGCUGCUCUCAGCCUGCUGUCCUCUCUCUCUGGCCAGAGUGUUACCUGUCACUGCUGUUUGCUGCAGGUGACUGUGGUGGAAGUGACCCUGGGAGGCCACCGUGUGUUUGGUGUUUUUACAGCACUGCCUCUUGGGCCCUUGCAGCCCACUCCUGCAUCCGGCUGCACUGAAGGCAACAAACAUCUCAGCAGGGCCAGCGGAAUGCAGCGUGGCCCAGAACUAGUGGGCCUUCCGCAGUCUUCGCACACAGUACCGAUAUUAAUAGAACGCUGGGGAUGAGGAAGGCCAGAAGACCUGCCUUCAUUCUCCUAGGAUCCCCGAGUAGAAGAUGAUGGUCCUGUCAAACAGGGCAGGUGCCUUGAGAGAAGGAACAGAAUGGGGACUGAAGAGAGAGGAAGAACAAAAUUACGGGGCUUCCCACACCUGCUCUAGCUCCCAAAUAUAGACACAAGUAUAGGCCUUGUGCUUAUUAAAAAAAGCUGGCCAGAUACUUAUCUAUUCUAACCCUUUUUGAGCCCAUCUGUGGCCUACUACCCAGCCACAUGCCCUGUUACUUGCCAACUCAGUCUUGCACUGGCUGCUCCUGCCCCAUCGCCGUCCUCAUAGUGCCUGCCCACCACCAUGCGAACUGCUCAUGGAGAAUAAUCACAGCCAAUCUCCCAGUGCAGCCCCCCUCUCUCUGCUCCCCACCAGACACCCUCUCUGGGAUCAGAAAUCUUGCUUCCUCCUCUCUUGCCCAGCUAUUGGCUGAUCAGCUCUUUAUUAAGCAGUCAGAGGCAAUAAAAAACAACUUUACACAACACUGAGACAGGAGAUGCUUGGCAAUGCCAUUGUCUGGACUGCAGCCGGAUCUCUGGGCACAGGAAUUGGCAUUGGAAUACACAGUGCACAAAAGCAUCCCCCAACAUGAGGGAGGGAAUAAUUGCACCCCACUGAAGGGCCUGGAUUGCUCCAUGAAGGCAGUGGCUGCUGGAUGGGUGUGGCAGUUUGAAUGAAAAUGGCCCCCACAGGCUCCUGUAGAUUGACAUUAUUUGGAAGGAAUAGGACCUGUGCCCUGAUGAUCAAACCAGGCUCCUCUCAAUCUCUCUCUCUCUCUCUCUCUCUCUCUCUCUCUCUCUCUCUCUCUCCCCCUGACAAUCCAAUCCAGAUGUAUCUCUCUCCCUUCUGAAGUAACAGCUCUCAGCUACCUCUCCAGCACCAUGCCUGUCUGCCUGCCGCCAGCCCCAACUGAACGCUUUCCUUUAUAAGUCGCCUUGGCCAUGGUGUCUGUUCACAGCAAUAGGAACUCUAACCAAGACAAUGGGGAACAUGUGAACCAUGGGGGUUAGGGGGAGAUCUCACCAAAUAGCCCAAGCAAGUUUCAAAUUCAAGAUUUCUCUGCCUCAGCCUCCAGCAUGCUGAGAUUACAGGCACCCUCCCCAAAGCCAG
rnacentral:lncRNA from 1 species